UACGAAGGGGGGCUAGCGUUGCUCGGAAUCACUGGGCGUAAAGGGUGCGUAGGCGGGUCUUUUAAGUCAGAGGUGAAAUCCUGGAGCUCAACUCCAGAACUGCCUUUGAUACUGAGGGUCUUGAGUAUGACAGAGGUGAGUGGAACUGCGAGUGUAGAGGUGAAAUUCGUAGAUAUUCGCAAGAACACCAGUGGCGAAGGCGGCUCACUGGGUCAUUACUGACGCUGAGGCACGAAAGCGUGGGGAGCAAACAGGG
rnacentral:rRNA from 1 species